rnacentral:rRNA from 1 species
AGGUACCGUCAAAUACAACGGGUAUUAACCGUUAUACAUUUCUUCCCUAUUGACAGAGUUUUACGACUCGAAAGCCUUCAUCACUCACGCGGCGUCGCUGCAUCAGGGUUUCCCCCAUUGUGCAAAAUUCCUC